GGCUUCGUGGUCCAGUGGUGAGGACACUGCCUCUCACCCUGGAGUCCCGAGUUGGAACCCCGGUCGAGGAGCUA